rnacentral:rRNA from 1 species
GACGUAGGAUGCAAGCGUUAUCCGGAAUCAUUGGGCGUAAAGCGUUCGUAGGCGGUCUGUUAAGUUAGAUAUUAAAGCUUUGAGCUUAACUCAAAAUCGGUAUCUAAAACUGGCAAACUCGAGACAGGGAGAGGUAGAUGGAAUUCUGCAUGGAGGGGUAAAAUCCGUAGAUAUGCAGAGGAACACCAAAAGCGAAGGCAGUCUACUGGCCCUGUUCUGACGCUAAAGAACGAAAGCGUGGGGAGCAAACGGG